AGCGAACGCUGGCGGCAGGCCUAAUACAUGCAAGUCGAGCGGCAGCGGGAAAGUAGCUUGCUACUUUUGCCGGCGAGCGGCGGACGGGUGAGUAAUGCCUGGGAAAUUGCCCAGUCGAGGGGGAUAACAGUUGGAAACGACUGCUAAUACCGCAUACGCCCUACGGGGAAAAGCAGGGGACCUUCGGGCCUUGCGCGAUUGGAUAUGCCCAGGUGGGAUUAGCUAGUUGGUGAGGUAAUGGCUCACCAAGGCGACGAUCCCUAGCUGGCCUGAGAGGAUGAUCAGCCACACUGGAACUGAGACACGGUCCAGACUCCUACGGGAGGCAGCAGUGGGGAAUAUUGCACAAUGGGGGAAACCCUGAUGCAGCCAUGCCGCGUGUGUGAAGAAGGCCUUCGGGUUGUAAAGCACUUUCAGCGAGGAGGAAAGGUUGUUGGCUAAUAUCCAACAGCUGUGACGUUACUCGCAGAAGAAGCACCGGCUAACUCCGUGCCAGCCGCCGCGGUAACAC
rnacentral:rRNA from 1 species